GUCCAAUUCGGUAAAGGCCACGCAGGUUCCAGGCGUUCUGUGUUCCGCAAGACCUUUGGCCAACCCUACCUCGUCGCUGCCCAGUCCUUGAGACUCAUUCGUCAUCAUCAAUGCGAGAACAUGGCAGCAUCCAGGUGGGCAUGGUGCAGGCAGAGCUGAAAGUUCUACAUCUUCAUUUGAAGGCUGCUAGCAGAAUACUGGCUUCCAGGAAGCUAGGAUGAGAAAGCCCACACUCACAGUGACACAUCUCCUCCAACAAGGUCACACCUACUCCAGUAGAGCCACAGCCAGCUCCCUGGGCCGAGCAUAUCCAAACUAUAACAUGAGCUUUGCACAGCAGUACCGCUAAAGACUGGUGGAUCCUAUUGAGCAUCUGUACAAGAAAUUGAUAAGAAAAUGUUACCUUCUGAGCUUUCCUAUCCCUUUUGCAGGGGGCUUACAGCUAAUUUGAGGGGAUAGGGCUCCCAGGAUUCUGUGUGUCACCUGCCACUUGCGAUCAUUUCCCAUGUAUAUGGCAUGCCUGUUCAAAGACUUGUGCCUACUCCUGACUGGUGACCUUUGAAUAGAAUGUGAAUAAAAUAUCGUAUCCAUCUGAGACCUAGCUAUAACACUGAAAUUGUAUAUUUCUCAAAGUUGCUCAAAGAUUCAGUGUUAGGUUGUAUUUUUCCCAAUGUAAAUUACAGGAGUGAGCAGAGGAUUUAGAUAUGGAUCUGAUCGGUUUGAAAGUAUCGAAUAACUGUUACACACAGUGUACGCUGGCUAGUUUUCUAUGAAUUUGACACAAGGUAGAGGCAUUUGAGAAGAGGGAACCUCAAUUGAGAAAAUGCUCCUAUCAUAGGUCAAGCAUGUGGAGCAUUUUUGUUUGGUUGGUUGGUUGGUUUUGUUUUUCCAAGACAGGGUUUCUCUCUGUAGCCCUGACUGUCCUGGAACUUGUUCUGUAGACCAGGCUGGCCUCAAACUCACAAAGAUCUGCUUGCCUCUGACUUCCAAGUGCUGGGACUAAAGGCCACCACCUCGCUGCUGCAUUUUCUUGAUUAAUGAUGGAUGGGCAAGCAUCCAGCGCAUUGAAGGUAGUGCCACCCAUAGGCCAGUGGUCCUGGAGAGCUUAAGAAAUCAGGUUGAGCAAGCCAGUAAACAGCACCCCUCCAUGGCCUUUGCAUCAGCUCCUCCCUCCAGGUUCCUGCCUUUAAUUUCUUCCCUGACUUCCCUAGAUGAAGGAUUAUAAACUGUAAAAUGCAAUAAACCUUUUCCUCCCC
rnacentral:lncRNA from 1 species